rnacentral:lncRNA from 1 species
UACACUGUCUAAAAAAAGAAAAAAAAGGAAAAGAAAUAAAUCAAAAGGCUUGUGAGCUGUUGCUUCAUUUGCACAUCCAAGAGCAGCUUCCUGUUACUUUAUCUGUUGAAGCAGUUUCUCUUCUCAGAAUCAGACGCUGAUUACCCUACUGACUGUAGAGGAGUAAAACCGCUCUGUGGGAACGUUUGAUUCUCUAGAGUUCCUUUAAUAGCAGAUUUUAUAUAGCAAAAUGGCAAAGAUUUUGGGGCAAUUAUAGGCAUUGGUCUGAAAGAGAGAGUCGAGUAUUGAGAAAUAUACUACGGACAAAACUAGCGGGUACACUCAGAAGAUGAGAAAAAACUUGGAAGUGCUUCAGAUCGUAUUUUCAGUGGUCAGACCUUCCAAGUGCUGCACUAGAAUCAUGUUCUUCCACAACAUUCCUCCAGUCUCUGCAGCAUCUAAUUUCACAUCCCGGGCAGUACCUGCUCUCCCAAGGAGCUCACAUUAAAAUAAAGCUUUUCAGAUGCUCCA